CCAAUGCUGGCAUUUUGAAUUUGUUUUCUUGUUUAUGUUGACAAGCUGCAGCCUGCAUUCAAGUGUGUUACUAUUGUGGGCUCUAUCAGAUGAGAUGGUAUGUGCGUACAAUUUAUGAUUUUUUAUUUAUUACCAGCAUUUACCUUUUCCAAAUGUCGCGAAAAUUGACAACUGCUUAUGAAGUAUAGAAUGAGGACCAUAGUAUAUUCCACCACACCAUUUUAUAAGCCACUUGAUCGAUCCUAUUGCAGUUAACCAUUGAGAACGCUCCCUGGGAAAGUGUGAAUCAAGCCUCUCUUGAUAUGUCUGCCUUUCAUCAAUCUACGAUCUCACUUGCUCCAUCAAAUUUUUUGCAAUAUGUAGGAAUAAAAGUUUUCAUUUAUAGAGUACUAUGUCGCCUUUUGUGCUGAUGAAUGUUUAACCUUUUGUUUUGUACUGUUAAAGCUGAAAUAACCCGCGUCACCAAUUCAAAAUCCUCUGCAAUCUUCAAGCAUCUCAACCACGAUAUUAAUCCAGUACUAAAGACAGUUAAAUCUCUCUGACCAUUGAUAUCAAAUGAAUGCUAAACAUGUCUCCAGGUCUAUUGGCUUGCGCCAGUUGAAUUUUCUUGACGACUUGCUAGUUUUGCAUUAGAAAUAAAAUUUAAUUGUUGCAGCAUGGACAGACCAUCAAGGGAAGGAAGUCAGCAACACUAACAUUAGCAAUAGCCAACACAAUUUUUGCCAAACUAUCAUUUUCCCUUUAUCACAACCCAUGGCAUCCGUCUUCUCAAUUUGCCCACUCCAAUUAAUAAAAAACCUUGCAACACUUUCUCUUUCGCCAGAAAAUGCUAUUAUACUUUACAGCUGCAAUGCAAUCAUGGAAAAUUAAUUAUGAUGUAAACCUAGAGUAGGCAGAAACAUAGUAAAAAUUCAAAACUUAACUUUACAUCAAAAUAGAAACUAGAAAGAUAGAGAGAGAGAGAGGCUAACCAUCAUACUUUAAUUGCCAGCCUUCAUGGGGUUCAUACCCACUGGAAUCUGAAUGUUGGGUGCUUAUCCUAGCUGCAUGUUAGGAUUAACUUCUGUUAAUUUCUUUAGGUAAAUUCCAAACCAGAGAUUACUUGAAUUAUUUAAUCCUACACAUAGGCAACAAAUUCAGAUUGAAGGGGUGUAUGCAGGUUUUUGUUUUCAAAUUUGGCGUGGUUUGAUCUUUCUCUCUCAGUCAAUUUUGACUGGCUUCCAAUGCAGACAUUUGCAUUUGGUUUUUGUUCUUGAAAUGCUGCAGCACAUUAUCUAUUGCUUAUGAUUGACUUCACCCCUUAUCACUUUUUUCCCAUUUAUUGUUUUAAUACACUUUCAGUCUGAUGAUUGUAGUUGUGUGAUGGUGUUGGAGUUGCUUGCUUGCUGAACGCUACUCUUGUUUUGCCCAAAUUUGAAGUGGCUGCAUAUUGGAACGAAUCCAGGUAAGCGAUAGUUGUGAGUCUAUGGACAAAGGACUAUUCUUUUGCAUUUACAGGAUUUUGUCACUGAAGUAAUUUUAAAAAACUAGUCUGUAGAGUGCAGUCCCUUAAGCUAAAGUUAGGUGAAGUAAAUUGAUGUCUUUUAACCCAAGGGAAGAAAUUUCCUGCCUCACUUUCUCGUGUUAGAGACUUGGAACAUGAACAAUACCUCGGAGAAUUUCAUUUACUUAAAUGAAACUAUCCAUAUAUGUAAAUCUCUCUUGAAAGCUCCAAGAUUCCCUCUCUCUCAAAUAAUUCUCGUCUUUGGUAUGUUCUCUCAAUUAAUACGACUUAAUUAGGGUAGGGUUGCUUGGAUAUUAUUAUGUGGAUGAGAAACAUUCAGCAGUCUGCUCACACAAGGAAAUCUACAUCUUCAAUUUCCUUUGCAAUUUUCAUUCAUUCGAAGCAAGCAACAGUAGCCUAAAUUAUUAUUUUACAAUGCUGUGGAUUUGGAGAUGUAUUUGGUGUAGACCUUUUUCAUCCAACAAAUGAGCAGCUUUAAAAGAGUUGCCUGGAGAGAUUGCAUCAAAAGAACCCUUUCAUGGUGAUUGUAGCAAACGUAAAGGUUUAUAUGACUAUGUUGAAAGUGUGUUUCCUUCCCUUUUGGAGCAUCGUUUUAUUUCAUUCACGCCAGCAAUGAGUCAAAGAAGGGAUAGGUACAACUAUGUAUUCUUGAAUUCCUUUGUUUUCGUAAAAAGUGUCUUAUCAUAAUUAACUUACAUGUAACACAGUUUCUAAUCAACCUUGCUUUCUUCUCUGCUCAUUUAUUCUUGCGGAGGCACAAAUUAUAUUUAUUCUCUGUUGUCUUGUUCUAUUUGUGUUGUUUUGGGUGGUGGUUGGUAGGGUGUGUUUGGUGGUUACGAUCUUGGGGAUCUAAAACAUUGAGGAUUUUCAUAAUGAAUUCGUAAAAUCAAGUUCAUUGCCGAUCUAUUUGUUCUAUUCCAAAUAAUUUCCCUUAAACCGGCUUUUUUAGUGGAAGAUUACCUUCGACAUAAAUGAUAAUUCUGGCUAUGAUGGUAGAAAAAUAGAUUAUUUAUUUGUUUAUUAUUUUUGGGAAAAAGGGACAUGCUGAACUACUCGGACAUAUCAUGCCACAUUCUUUCAUUGAGUUCUUGCUCUUUACUAUGCAUUUGCAAUUUUUGCAAGAUGUGUUAAUCAAGAUCCCAGAGUGCUUAUAAUAAUUAAUUUUGUUGGUAUCCACUGUAUGCGAAAGCUGUAUUCUGUCAGGUAUGUUAUAAUGCUCUGUGCUUAACCGGCACGUUGGAGAAGAAAGCGUCUGAGCUUCUAGAUGCUAUACCUGAGCCCUUCCUUUCACCUCACCUUCGGCCUAAUCUUUCUCCUGCUUCUAUGCAAGCCAUAUUUGCAGCACGAGGAGACCGGAAAGCCUGGACUGUAGAACAGGCUCGUAUAUGGAGAAAC
rnacentral:lncRNA from 1 species